GACGAACUGUCCAAACGUUGUUCGGAAUCACUGGGCGUAAAGCGCACGUAGGCGGAUGUGUCAGUCAGGGGUGAAAUCCCGGAGCUCAACUUCGGAACUGCCUUUGAUACAGCACAUCUGGAGUCCGGAAGAGGUGGGUGGAAUUCCUAGUGUAGAGGUGAAAUUCGUAGAUAUUAGGAAGAACACCGGUGGCGAAGGCGGCCCACUGGUCCGGUACUGACGCUGAGGUGCGAAAGCGUGGGGAGCGAACAGG
rnacentral:rRNA from 1 species